CGUAUUAUAUUUGAUUUGCGUAGAACUUCUAUUCCUGUGUGCAUUAAUGUGACAGUGAGCUGCUGUAACAAAAGAGUUUCCCCUCGGGGAUCAAUAAAGUAUUUCUGAUUCUGAUAUGGAGUCUGAGAUAUGUCACUGAAAGGCUCAUGUAUUUCUGACUCUGAUAAUGAGUCAAAACUAAAUGUGUUAUUUUCUUAGUUAUAGAAUAUUUAAUCUUUUUAGGGCAGCAUCUUUUAAUAAUCAGUUAACCUGAAGAUUAAUCUAAAUUAUUAAUUGAUUAAUUAUUUGGUCUACAAAAUGUCAGAAUGUCCAUAACAAUUUCCUAAUGUCCAAGAUAAACAACAGUUGAAAACCCAAAGAUAUUUAGUAACCUAUCAUAUAAGACAAAGAAAUGCAGCAAAUUCUCACAAUUGAGAUACUGGAAAAAGUGAAUGGCAUUUUUGCUUGAAAAAUUAGUAAACCAGUAAUCGAUCAAAAUAGUUAAUAGUUUUCUGUCUAUUCAUUAAUUGACUAAUCGUUUGAGCUCUAAAUCAUUUACCUUUUAUUUUUGGUUGUAUUUAUUGUUUCACCUUACUUACACUUUCCUCAGAACAUUUCUUGUUUCCCUUGUUUCUCGUUUGAUGCUUUGGUGUGGGAAAGAAUUGAACUAAAUGACAUAGAUAUUGUCACAGGCUGAAGAUGCAAACAGCUUUAGGCUCCCAGUGUUCUUGGGAGAGCUGACAUUUGUCAGUGUAGCAAGCUAAAAACACUUAGUUUCUUGUGCGUGUUAUCACACAAGAUCUGUUAUGUUUCUCAGGGCUGACACCUUCUGGUCUGUUGGUCGAUUGGUUAGUCGAUAUGCUCUUGUCUGACCAAAUUCUCAUUUGUUGGACAACAUUCGGUGGUGUUACUUUCAUAAGGAGAAGGGCGCUUCUUAAUACAUUAUUUUCUCAGGCGGGAGAGAUAUGCAGACCUGAUGUAUUGUAUUUUUGAGUGAUAUAUUAUGUUAAAAAUAACAUUGAUUAUGUAUAAAAAUAAUACUCAGAUAUAUUUUACUCAACAAAUGUGUUUCUGUUUUAAUAAUUGUAUGCUUUUAAUAGACUGUAAGACUUUUAAGACAGGAAGUCAAAACACCCCUGUUUUCACAACUUUGAACUCACUCAACCUAAUGGAGACUGCGAAGGGUCCGGCUGGGUCCGGCUGCAGGGGGCUCUGCGUGAGCAUCCAGUUAAACCCCUAAACCCACGAUGGGCUAAUGGAGGACCGUGACGUCGCUAUUAGAUCUAGGUCAAAUUUCAUUAAAAGAAGAUGGCGGCAUUUGAGUAAUGGUGAAGCAGCAGGUAGGUAAUCACAGCUCAGUGAAGCUGAAGUAGAACGUAUGAUGUUAUUGCACAAAUAAGUAUAAAAACAUUUGAAAAAGAAACGUUAUUUAUUGCAGCUGGUUAAUGUUAGCUAGGUUAGAUGCAGAAUCAAUGUUAGUCUUGGAAUGACAAUAAGCUAAUGUUAGCUUAGCCUGCCAGCAUGGUGUGUGUGUGAGAGUACUACUUAUGAUGAUAUUUUACAAAUAGUAAACGUUAUUUAGCGCAGGGUUUUUUGUUUAGGAUUAAUGUUAGCCAUAUCAACUAACGUUACCGAAGCUAGGCUAAUGCUAUCGUAGUUAACACGAGCUGCCAGCAUAUGCGUGUGUGAUAGUGUGUGAGAGACAAUAGCUGUGUCUCGAUCCAGGGGCUGCAUCCUUCGAAGGCUGCAUUUAAAAACCGAAUGUGUCACAGCGGGCGCGACUAGGCUGUCCCAUUUCAAAGGCUCCUUCAAUGGCCGACAAAUGCAAGUUUGUAUCUCUGCAGACUUUGAGAGGGCGUGGUAACUGUCAAUGUUUUUUAAUUUGGCCAAUCAGAUUCUGACAAUCCACUGUCAUUCAAAAACCAAUUUCACCAAUAUGCUGCCUGAAACAAUUGUCAAUCACUUUUUAAUGAAGCGAAUCACUUCACAGUAUUAUAAAGGUGGAGGUACACAAACAACUCAUGCUCCAUCCAUCAGUUUUUUUGUACGGACAGUUCCCCCGCACAUUCAAAGUCUCCAGUCUGCAGAGAUACCCUACUCAACAAAUGCAGCCUUCUUUUCCCUAAUUUGGAUGGUGCAACGGGUGGAUCCUUUGCAGCCCAACCUAUCCCAAGACGCAUUGCGCUCCGGUGUUGAAAAUGGCGUCCCCAAACGUAAGGUUGACAGCGGCUAAGGAUGAUUACACUUUUAAAUGACACUUCUGGAGAAAAUGGGCCUGCUGGAGAAGGUGACUCCCUUGCAAGCCCCCCCAAAAAUGGGACAGUUAAAAAAACAAAUACAAAGAUUGCAAGUGUCCAGGGAGAGGGCAUGAGUGGGAAACCCACUGCUGCACCUUGGCUGUUGUUUGUUCUCAUGGAUAAGGUGUUUGGCCAGAGGCACCCCCCCAAUUGCCUCCAUCUCUGAGGACACACCAGGGCCAAGUACCAAGUACAGAAGUGGGUGACCAGGAGGAGGAGAAUGGACAAUAAAGACUCUGUUGUCUCUGUCAGUGAGACAUCAUCUGGGGUGGUCUCCAGAGUGUGUUUGGGGUGUCUUGUGGCAAAUGGACCACCUCCUCAGUGACUCUGUGGACGAUGCGGUAGACAGUGGAACAAGGCAUCCCAAACACUCUGGAGACCACCCUGUAUGAUGCCCCACUUACCAGCCAGAAGAGAAACACCAGGAUCUCAACUGUGGGACCCCACAGGAACUGUGUCUCUGUUCCUGGUUGAGAAGGUCCGGCAGCACUGCCAGGGCCUCCCUGCUCAGCCAAAAAUCAGGCCUUGUGUCUUGCUGGUUAAAAACCUGUCCAGCACAGGAACACUCGGGUUUAUCCUGCAGUACAGGGGUCUGGGCUGGUUUAGGGAAAGAAGAAAAAGAAAAACUUAAAAUUAAUAAUAGCUAGAUAUUAAGUGUGGAGAGCUUAGAUAGAUAAGGAUUAAAGGUAGAUAAAGCUUAUCUGUCUACUCAACCCGUUUCAGGUGAUUCAUGACAAAAUAUUAAAUAUCCAACAAAUAUUUAAUAUUAAAGGAAGGUUAGGGUUAUUUUAAAUAUGAUAUGCUAAUGUUAACAUUACUGUUGUAUAAAAGUACACAGCUUAACCAAUGUUAAUGUUGGAGGAAGUACUCAGAUCUUUUACUUGAGUAAAAGCAGCAAUAACUGUAAAAAUAUUGCAUUCAAAAUCUUACUUAAGUAAAAAUACAAUGUAUUAGCAUCAAAAUAUACUUAAAGUACCAAAAGUUAAAGUAGCCUACAGAAUGGCCCGUUUCAGAAUAACAGGCCUAUAUGUUAUAUUAUUGGAUUAUAAUUAUUGAUGCAUUAAUGUGUUCAUCACUUUAAUUUUGCAGCUGGUGAAGGUAGAGCUCAUUUUAAUUACUUUAUAUACUGCUGGGUAGCUUAAUCUAUAAUAAUAUAUUAUAAUUUAUUAGUUGAUUUAUAUUUUGUAUUCAUCUGAAUCUGCAAAGUAACUAGUAACUAAAGUUAUCCAGUGGAAUGAAAAGCAGCGGUGAAGCAGCUCCAUUUCCUCUAAUAAAUGGUAAAACAACAACAACAAAAAAGAGGUUAUAAUUAACAUUACUGGCUCCAUUUCUGCUGUGUGCCGAUUGUCAAUGGCAGUUGUCAAGGUCGCUAGGUGACAGGAGCAACUCUUUUUUCAAUUUUCUGUUGUUUUACAUCAUAACUUUAGAAACAGUACUGGCUAAUAAUGUAGUGCUUGUACAACAUUACAUCUCUGUUUCGCACCAUUUGGCUGAAUAGUUGUUCUAAAUCAGAUAAAUGUUCUUACAAUUGUCCACAGUGACUACAUAUUGUUGUCACUUCUGUGCAUGUGUUCAUACUGAUGUUAUCUUUGAUGUCUUUACAUCACUAUGACUAUGACAACAUACAAUAUUUUGACAGCCUGGGCCUGUUAAAUGUUAAUACUGCUAGCCUUAAAUUUGAAGCUUCCUGUUACUGGUGUCGAACAUACAUACCAGUUUGUACUAAUGAAGAUAGGAGUUUUAAAGUUAAAAAAUGUUUCCAGACCUUUUGUGAAAGCAUGACAUUUAUGUAGUAUUAAUGGCAGAAAUUUUUAAAAUAUUUUUCAAUAUUUACAUGUUUUCAUGUAUAUUUGAAUUGCUUACGUCAUACUUUCCCUUGCAAUUUAUAGCUUGUGGAAACAAGAAAAAAUUGAGCAACUCAGAGUUUAAUUUUAAUUUCAGUCUUUAUGCUAAUGCUAUGCCUCCUCCUCAAACAAUAUCAUUGUCUGUGAUAAAUAAAGUAAAAUUGUUGAUAUUUGCCAUGAUUAAGUCGCAUAAGAUCCAUCCAUGCAUUAUCUAGCUGCUUGCCCAGAUCAGAUUCAUGGUGGGAAAAGGGCAAGCAGAGCAGUCCAGAUAACUUUUCCAACUUGCUCAAGUUCCUCAUAGGAGAUCCCCAGGUGCUCCCAGACCAGUUGGGAGAGUUGGCCAGCAUGUGUGUGUGUGUAUAAUGUAUGUUCCCCACCAAUCAAGUAUUUCAUUAAACUGAAAAUAUUAAAUGAA